AAAGAAACCAACAGGGAUUGCCUCAGUAACGGCGAGUGAAGCGGCAAGAGCUCAAAUUUGAAAGCUGGCCCCCUCGGGGUCCGCAUUGUAAUUUGCAGAGGAUGCUUCGGGUGCAGCCCCCGUCUAAGUGCCCUGGAACGGGCCGUCAUAGAGGGUGAGAAUCCCGUCUGGGACGGGGUGUCUGCGUCCGUGUGAAGCUCCUUCGACGAGUCGAGUUGUUUGGGAAUGCAGCUCUAAAUGGGUGGUAAAUUUCAUCUAAAGCUAAAUACUGGCCGGAGACCGAUAGCGCACAAGUAGAGUGAUCGAAAGAUGAAAAGCACUUUGAAAAGAGAGUUAAACAGCACGUGAAAUUGUUGAAAGGGAAGCGUUUGCGACCAGACUCGCCCGCGGGGUUCAGCCGGCAUUCGUGCCGGUGUACUUCCCCGUGGGCGGGCCAGCGUCGGUUUGGGCGGCCGGUCAAAGGCCCUCGGAAUGUAUCACCUCUCGGGGUGUCUUAUAGCCGAGGGUGCAAUGCGGCCUGCCCGGACCGAGGAACGCGCUUCGGCUCGGACGCUGGCGUAAUGGUCGUAAAUGAC
rnacentral:rRNA from 1 species